rnacentral:rRNA from 1 species
GAUCCUGGCUCAGGACGAACGCUGGCGGCGCGCCUAACACAUGCAAGUCGAACGAGCGAGAGAGAGCUUUGCUUUCUCGAGCGAGUGGCGAACGGGUGAGUAACGCGUGAGGAACCUGCCUCAAAGAGGGGGACAACAGUUGGAAACGACUGCUAAUACCGCAUAAGCCCACGGUGCCGCAUGGCACAGAGGGAAAAGGAGCAAUCCGACUUUGAGAUGGCCUCGCGUCCGAUUAG